UUCUAAACCAUAGGAAAAUGAUGGAAGACACAGAAGAGCAGCAGAAGUGGGUAGAAGACUACUACAGAUGCCAGAUCGCCACUUCUGAAAGAAAGGCUCACGACAACUGGCUCUGUGUUUAAGCCUCGCAGAGGGAGAUGCAAGAGAAGAAGGCUGCCUACAAGCAGCACAGAUAGGAAAUGAUUGAAAAACAGAGAGUGCUGGAGAGACACAUUAGUCAGGAGCCAGCUAGUGGACAACCAGGCAUAGAGAAUCAUCCCCAAAGAGGUCAGUAUGGCUUUGGGAGGGCCCCUUUUUCAGGAUUGCCCUACUUGCUCUACUGCAUGGCUGGCUCUUCAGGACCAUUUGUGGGCUGCCAGACACCUCCUCUGCCUCGGUGGCCUCUGGGAACACAACCACUGCCUCCAUGCACACCACUUG